CUAUGCGCCUUGCCCAGCCCGCUCAGGUGUGCCAGCCGCCGCGGUAAUACGUAGGGGGCAAGCGUUAUCCGGAUUUACUGGGUGUAAAGGGAGCGUAGACGGCAGCGCAAGUCUGGAGUGAAAUCCCGGGGCUCAACCCCGGAACUGCUUUGGAAACUGCGCGGCUCGAGUGCAGGAGGGGCAGGCGGAAUUCCUAGUGUAGCGGUGAAAUGCGUAGAUAUUAGGAGGAACACCAGUGGCGAAGGCGGCCUGCUGGACUGUAACUGACGUUGAGGCUCGAAAGCGUGGGGAGCAAACAGG
rnacentral:rRNA from 1 species